ACUCAAAUGAAUUGACGGGGGCCCGCACAAGCGGCGGAGCAUGCGGCUUAAUUCGAUGCGACGCGAAGAACCUUACCUGGGCUUGACAUGCAGGGCAAAGCCGGUGAAAGCCGGCGCUCUACGGAGCCUGCACAGGUGGUGCAUGGCUGUCGUCAGCUCGUGCCGUGAGGUGUUGCCUUAAGUGGCGCAACGAGCGCAACCCUUGUCCUUAGUUGCCAGCGGGUAAAGCCGGGAACUCUAGGGAGACUGCCGGUGCCAAACCGGAGGAAGGUGGGGAUGACGUCAAGUCAUCAUGCCCCUUAUGUCCAGGGCUGCACGCAUGCUACAAUGCGCGGUACAAAGGGCUGCGAUCCCGUAAGGGGGAGCGAAUCCCAAAAAGCCGCGCUCAGUUCGGAUCGGGGUCUGCAACCCGACCCCGUGAAGUCGGAGUCGCUAGUAAUCGCAGAUCAGCAAUGCUGCGGUGAAUACGUUCCCGGGCCUUGUACACACCGCCCGU
rnacentral:rRNA from 1 species